GCAAACUUGGUCAUUUAGAGGAAGUAAAAGUCGUAACAAGGUUUCCGUAGGUGAACCUGCGGAAGGAUCAUUAAAGAGUUUAUUUACUCUCACCAUAUGUGAACUUGUUUCUGUUGCUUUGGUUGAUCGAUCUGAAAGGAUCCUUCAGAUUAAUUUCUGAGGAGUCAAACUGUCGACCAAAGAUUUUUAAACUCUUUUUAAUUUAAAUCUGAGUCUUUACAAAAUAAAAUUAAAACUUUCAACAACGGAUCUCUUGGUUCUGGCAUCGAUGAAGAACGCAGC
rnacentral:misc_RNA from 1 species